rnacentral:pre_miRNA from 1 species
AAAAGUUAACUCAGUAUAGAGUUGGAACGUUUGCCUACGUUUGCCGCUAGGGGCGCUGUUCCAACUACAUACAAAUUUGAGUUA